UCAGUCGGCUGGACGGCCGCUCCGGCGAUCACCGAAAGGUGGCUGGAGAGGAAAGUCCGGGCUCCAUCGACAUACGGUGCCGGAUAACAUCCGGCGGGGGCGACCCCAGGGAAAGUGCCACAGAGAACGAACCGCCUUAUCUUUCGGAUAAGGCAAGGGUGAAAAGGUGCGGUAAGAGCGCACCGCGGAUCCGGCAACGGAUGCGGCAUGGCAAACCACACCGGGAGCAAGACCGAAUAGGGACGGCAACGCGGCGCGUUCGCUCGGUGAGCGAUAACACCGCAGGGCGAUGUCAGGCUCGCCGUCCGGGUAGGUUGCUCGAGGCACCGCGCAAGCGGUGUCCCAGAGGAAUGGCCGUCACGUAUCGUCGGCGCAAGCAGGCGAUGCCCUACAGAACCCGGCUUACAGGCUGGCUGAUGUU
rnacentral:RNase_P_RNA from 1 species